UCUSUCAGGACGAACGCUGGCGGCGUGCUUAACACAUGCAAGUCGAACGAUGAAGCCUUCGGGGUGGAUUAGUGGCGAACGGGUGAGUAACACGUGGGCAAUCUGCCCUGCACUCUGGGACAAGCCCUGGAAACGGGGUCUAAUACCGGAUACUGAUCGCCUUGGGCAUCCUUGGUGAUCGAAAGCUCCGGCGGUGCAGGAUGAGCCCGCGGCCUAUCAGCUUGUUGGUGAGGUAAUGGCUCACCAAGGCGACGACGGGUAGCCGGCCUGAGAGGGCGACCGGCCACACUGGGACUGAGACACGGCCCAGACUCCUACGGGAGGCAGCAGUGGGGAAUAUUGCACAAUGGGCGAAAGCCUGAUGCAGCGACGCCGCGUGAGGGAUGACGGCCUUCGGGUUGUAAACCUCUUUCAGCAGGGAAGAAGCGAAAGUGACGGUACCUGCAGAAGAAGCGCCGGCUAACUACGUGCCAGCAGCCGCGGUAAUACGUAGGGCGCGAGCGUUGUCCGGAAUUAUUGGGCGUAAAGAGCUCGUAGGCGGCUUGUCGCGUCGGUUGUGAAAGCCCGGGGCUUAACCCCGGGUCUGCAGUCGAUACGGGCAGGCUAGAGUUCGGUAGGGGAGAUCGGAAUUCCUGGUGUAGCGGUGAAAUGCGCAGAUAUCAGGAGGAACACCGGUGGCGAAGGCGGAUCUCUGGGCCGAUACUGACGCUGAGGAGCGAAA
rnacentral:rRNA from 1 species